rnacentral:rRNA from 1 species
CAGCGCUGCAAGUGGGAACCGUUUUUAUUGGGCCUAAAGCGUCUGUAGCCGGUUUAGUAAAUUCUUUGUGAAAUUGUCGGGCUUAACUUGACAACGUGCAGAGAACACUGCUAAACUUGGAACUGGGAGGAGUCAAGGGUAUUCUCGGGGGAGCGGUAAAAUGCUAUAAUCCAAAGAGGACCACCUGUGGCGAAGGCGUCUUGCUAGAACGGAUCCGACGGUGAGGGACGAAAGCCAGGGGAGCGAUCCGGAUUAGAGACCCGAGUAGUCC